UACGAAGGCGGCAAGCGUUGUUCGGAUUUACUGGGCGUACAGGGUGCGUAGGCGGUUGGAUAAGCCCUCCGUGAAAUCUCCAGGCUUAACCUGGAAAGUGCAGAGGGGACUGUUCAGCUAGAGGAUGGGAGAGGAGCGCGGAAUUCCCGGUGUAGCGGUGAAAUGCGUAGAGAUCGGGAGGAAGGCCGGUGGCGAAGGCGGCGCUCUGGAACAUUUCUGACGCUGAGGCUCGAAAGCGUGGGGAGCAAACAGG
rnacentral:rRNA from 1 species